rnacentral:rRNA from 1 species
CAGCCGCCGCGGUAAAACGGAGGGGGCUAGCGUUGUUCGGAAUUACUGGGCGUAAAGCGCACGUAGGCGGCGAUUUAAGUCAGAGGUGAAAGCCCGGGGCUCAACCCCGGAACUGCCUUUGAGACUGGAUUGCUAGAAUCUUGGAGAGGCGGGUGGAAUUCCGAGUGUAGAGGUGAAAUUCGUAGAUAUUCGGAAGAACACCAGUGGCGAAGGCGGCCCGCUGGACAAGUAUUGACGCUGAGGUGCGAAAGCGUGGGGAGCAAACAGGAUUAGAGACCCCCGUAGUCCCUGUCUCUUAUAU